AAGGCCUGAUGUGUGUGAGAUUACCCGCUGAAUUUAAGCAUAUAAGUAAGCGGAGGAAAAGAAACUAACUAGGAUUCCCUUAGUAAUGGCGAAUGAACAGGGAUCAGCUCAGUGCCAAAUCGGAAUCACUUGUGGUUCUGAAAUGUGGCUUGAAGGCAGUACCAGUGGCAUCGCGGACGAAAGUCUCUUGGAAAAGAGCGUCAUAGAGGGUGAGAAUCCCGUGAGUCGUUCGCCGUUUGUCACGUACGGUCUGCGUUCUAACGAGUCGCGUUCCUUGGGAUUGGAGCGUAAACGGGUGGUAAAUUUCAUCCAAAGCAAAAUAUAUACUCGAGACCGAUAGCACAAAAGUACCGUGAGGGAAAGGUGAAAAGAACUUUGAGAAGAGGGUAAAUAGU
rnacentral:ncRNA from 1 species